rnacentral:rRNA from 1 species
UAAAGAUUUUAAGGGCGUACGGUGGAUGCCUUGGCGAUAUCAGCCGAAGAAGGACGCGGUAAGCUGCGAUAAGCUACGGAGAGGUGCAAGCAACCUUUGACCCGUAGAUUUCCGAAUGGGGGAACCCGGCAGUGGUUAUGCACUGUCACCCAUACCUUUGAGUAUGAGGAGGGCACCUGGGGAACUGAAACAUCUAAUUACCCAGAGGAAAAGUAAUCAAACGAGAUUUUCUUAGUAGCGGCGAGCGAACGGGAAAGAGGCCAAACCGGAGCGGGCAACCGCACCGGGGUUGAGGACAGUCAUCAAGUGUAAAUGAGGUAGAAGAAUCGAGUUGGAAAGCUCAGCCGAAGAAGGUGAAAGCCCUGUAAUCGAAACCUUGCAUACAUGGGACUGUAUCCAGAGUACCACGAGACACGUGAAACCUUGUGGGAAGCAGGGGGGACCACCCUCCAAGCCAAAAUACUGAUAUCGACCGAUAGCGCAUAGUACCGUGAGGGAAAGGUGAAAAGAACCCCUGGCGGGGAGUGAAAGAGAACCUGAAACCGUAUGUCUACAAACAGUCGAAGUCUGUAUAUAUAUCAGGACGACGGCGUGCCUAUUGAAGAAUGAACCGACGAGUUACUGUUGCUAGCGAGGUUAAGUGGAAGACACGGAGCCGCAGCGAAAGCGAGUCUGAACAGGGCGUUCAGUUAGUAAUAGUAGACCCGAAACCGUAGUGAUCUAUCCAUGGCCAGGUUGAAGCACAGGUAAAAUUGUGUGGAGGACCGAACUCGUGAGCGUUGAAAAGCUUUGGGAUGAGUUGUGGAUAGGGGUGAAAUGCCAAUCGAACACGGAGAUAGCUGGUUCUCCCCGAAAUAGCUUUAGGGCUAGCCUCGAGGUUGAGAGUAUAGGCGGUAGAGCACUGAUCGGGCUAGGGGCCAUACCGGUUACCGAACCUAGUCAAACUACGAAUGGCUAUACUUAUACUCGGGAGUCAGACAGUGAAUGAUAAGGUCCAUUGUCAAGAGGGAAACAGCCCAGAACACCGACUAAGGUCCCAAAUGUUACACUAAGUGGCGAAGGAUGUGGAAUUUCCAAAACAACCAGGAUGUUGGCUUAGAAGCAGCCACCAUUUAAAGAGUGCGUAAUAGCUCACUGGUCGAGAGACUCUGCGCCGAAAAUGUCCGGGGCUAAAGUGUAAAACCGAAGUCGUGUCAUAUGCAGCAAUGUAUAUGGGUAGGGGAGCGUUCUCAUUGGGUUGAAGCAGUACCGUAAGGAGUUGUGGACUGAUGAGAAGUGAGAAUGUCGGUAUGAGUAGCGAAAAGAAUGGUGAGAAUCCAUUCCACCGAAAGCCUAAGGGUUCCUGAGCAACGAUCGUCGUCUCAGGGUAAGUCGGGACCUAAGCCGAGGCGGAAAAGCGUAGGCGAUGGACAACAGGUUGAAAUUCCUGUACCGGUGUGAAUCGUUUGAUCGAUGGAGUGACACAGUAAGGUAGGUCAGCACGCGAUUGGAAGUGCGUGUUUAAGCAUGUAGGUUGAGUUAUAGGUAAAUCCGUAGCUCUAAAAGCUGAGAUGUGAUGACGAGUUACUAGCGAUAGUAACGAAGUGAUUGAUCCUACACUGUCGAGAAAAGCUUCUAGGUAGAGACACAUCGCCCGUACCAAAACCGACACAGGUAGGCGGGGAGAGAAUCCUAAGGUGCGCGGGAAAACCCUCGUUAAGGAACUCGGCAAAAUGCCUCCGUAACUUCGGGAAAAGGAGGACUCAUGUAGUGUGAAGGGCAGUAACGCGUGGAGCAUGAAUGAGUGGCACAAGAGAGGCGCAAGCGACUGUUUACCACAAACACAGGUGCCUGCUAAAGCGAAAGCUGAUGUAUAGGUGCUGACACCUGCCCGGUGCUGGAAGGUUAAGAGGAGGGGUUAGACUUCGGUCGAAGCUCUGAAUUGAAGCCCCAGUAAACGGCGGCCGUAACUAUAACGGUCCUAAGGUAGCGAAAUUCCUUGUCGGGU